GAUGAACGCUGGCGGCGUGCCUAAUACAUGCAAGUCGAGCGAACAGAUGAGGAGCUUGCUCCUCUGACGUUAGCGGCGGACAGGUGAGUAACACGUGGAUAACCUACCUAUAAGACUGGGAUAACUCCGGGAAACCGGAGCUAAUACCGGAUAAUAUAUUGAACCGCAUGGUUCAAUAGUGUAAGACGGUUUUGCUGUCACUUAUAGAUGGAUCCGCGCCGCAUUAGCUAGUUGGUAAGGUAACGGCUUACCAAGGCAACGAUGCGUAGCCGACCGGAAAGGGUGAUCGGCCACACUGGAACUGAGACACGGUCCAGACUCCUACGGGAGGCAGCAGUAGGGAAUCUUCCGCAAUGGGCGAAAGCCUGACGGAGCAACGCCGCGUGAGUGAUGAAGGUCUUCGGAUCGUAAAACUCUGUUAUUAGGGAAGAACAAAUGUGUAAGUAACUAUGCACGUCUUGACGGUACCUAAUCAGAAAGCCCCGGCUAACUACGUG
rnacentral:rRNA from 1 species